rnacentral:lncRNA from 1 species
UGAUUCUGGUAGGCUGUCACUGUGGUGAAGACAGUCUCAGGGAAGUUGAAGGUUUUCACCCCAUCUCCUGAGGGAACUGGCUUUGUCGGAGAAAGAUCACUGCUGAAAUCCUUGCGGAUGACAUGAACACGAGGCUGGUACUUAUGCAUUGAAUGUAAAAUUAUAUGUCCUUGAUCAUCAAGUUCAUUGUUGGUCAGCUUGAGCUUGUCAAAACUGACCACCUGCCUCAUCCAAGUGUCUCCAGAAGCCAAUGAGUCCGGGUGGAUGUAAACCCUUGGGGGCACUGGAGAGUCGGCAUUGCCAGCCACCAUCCAUUUGGAGCUGUGAUACACAUACCUGUAUCUCUUGUUAUCCACAGGUACAAUGUCCAUAGCAAUAUAAUACUGCUGGUGUGGAUCCAAACCUGUGAUUUUCACCCUCAUGGCUGGAAACAUUCUCCUGCCUGCUUUCGUGAUGAUCAUCUCUGUCCCAAUGUCAUGAAAUCUUUUCCAGAGGUCAGCACACUGCAGUUCUACUUGGAUCUCUUCCAUGGAUGAAGGUGGAGGAGGCUGAGGACCCGAUCCACCAGAUGUAAGGUCAGAAUGGGAGCCAAAAGAGCAAGACGUUCUUUCUGCCAACACCUCUGUGUCUGACCCAGUGCUCUGUUCUGAGUCGGGGUUGAGGUCCAGGCAUUGCGUCGGGUCCUCGCCGUCGCCCAGCUGGCCAUUGGGGCUGAGGCUUUCCAUGGACAAAUCCAGCCCCUUGUCCUCCCAGUCCCGCAGUUUCCUCUUUUUAUUCGUCCCAAUCAAGGCUUCGACCGAGAAUGCGUGCGCCCGGGAGCUGAGGGCCACCGCCGACCUCCGCCUCUCGCUCAUCUUCCCCCCGGCCCGGCCUUGGGCGGACGGCCCCGCGGCUCCAGCACCAGCGGCGCAGCCCCGUCCUACAUGGGGCUGCGGUGCUCCGCGGGCAGAGCGGGAGCUGUGCUGUGCUCACAGGGGCCGCGGGCCGGGUUUCAUCUUUUUUUUUUUUUUUUUUUUUUUUUUUUUU